CAAAUGAGCAUGUGGACCCUGCCACGGCAGGUAAGAGGUUAAAGAGGCAACGUCCUUAAUCUGAAGGGGGAGGUCAAACACAAGCCCAGCUCAGCCUUCUCCAGAGGUAUGUUAGGAUGUGAUAAACCAUAGUGAAUCAUUAACUUGCUAGCAUUACAUGUUUACACCUUGAAAAAAAAAGUUGUGAGCCAAGAGUAACUGCCCAAUGAAAACAAGUGGCCAGAAGGAAUGCUCUUACUUAAACAUACACAAUUUCAGAUUGCCCAUAUGCCAUUCUUUUGUUUACCACAGAUUCCAACCUCUUAACCUCAAUUAAACCCUAAAAGCUUCAGCAAAUGCACUGCAGACGAAUUAAUAAAAGCUGGAGUCAACCAUUGGCCUCUGGGACACCCUACAAGGUGUUUGGUUUUGUUGGGGGUUUUUUGUUUGGUUGGUUUUGGGUUUGGUUUUGGUUGCUUUUUUAUUACUAUUUAUUUAUUUAAAAAUAAAAUCACAGCAUGUUUUAGCUCCUGUAGAAGUGCAUUUCGAGAUGUAAUUGCUUGGUUAAAGGCCCAGCAGUCUACCAAUGAAACAGUCAAAGGCACUAUUUAUUUGCAUUCUUCUGGUACUGGUCAGGAGGCUUAUUAGUGCCCAGAGAGGUGGCACAGCUUAUUUAACACUCUUUAUUUUACCUGAACACAUGUACAGCGGAGCUUUGGAAAUCAUGCCUGUCAUUAAUUUCAAGACUCUUCAAAUUAAACAGCUCAAACAUGGCUGUAAAAACUCAUUAAGAAAACCCCUAAUCAUACCCUCCUCUCUCCUUCCAGCACUGGUCCAGAACUUCAGCACUUGCUCGGUCCAAGCAGGAAUGGUUGAGGUUUGUCCCAGCGAGAGGGAUAAGUGAUAGAGCCAAGGGAGGAGGAGUAAGGAGACUGUUUGCUUUGGAUUUCAGUGGGACAGCUGGCUAAACCACCUCACACAGCCCAUAUACACAAUGGAACAAAGAUGACCUGCCACCGCUGAACUUGGGGCCAUGCUUCCAGAGCCUGUCUGGAAGCAGGUCUCAUCCAGACAGCACGUGGGUUUGCACAGCCUUAUGAGCACUACUGUAUUUUACACAACAGAACAUGGGACUGCAGCGAACUGAGUGCUGAUCCUGAUUUCAGACUCUAGGUACUGCCACAACCACAUCUCAAGGGGAUAAAACAGAUAGAUGGACGAACAGUCACCUAUCAACUCAAAGAAGCAAAACAGAAUGAAAUCUCGAUAGAAUUCCUCUAUUAAGAAAAAAAGCACAGGUAAUUCUAUGCUUCUCAAGAACACUUGGAAACAUGCUUGAUAAGGUUUAUUAGA
rnacentral:lncRNA from 1 species